rnacentral:rRNA from 1 species
GGUGGUAGCAAAUACUCAAGUGAGAGCCUUAAGGACUGAAGUGGAGAAGGGUUCCAUGUGAACAGCAGUUGAGCAUCGGUCAGUCGGUCCUAAGGAAAAGGAGUUCUUUCCGGAGCGGGAGCACUUUUUGUAGUGGAGAGAGCCCCGCAGUGACCGAAAGGGAAUCGGGUUAAUAAUCCCGAACCCGGACACGGAGAUUGGUCCUUCGGGGCCCAGUGCGGUAACGCAAACCAGCUCGGAGACGCCGAUGCGAGCCCCGGGAAGAGUUUUCUUUUCUCUGUAAGGAGAUCGAGUCUUUGGAAUGGGUUCGCCCCGAGAUAGGGAUGGUGGCUCCGUAGAGCAGUGCGGUUCUUGCGCUGUCGGGUGCGCUCGAGUCGGCCCUUGAAAAUACGAGUGAGGGAGUGUGAUUUUCGUGCCGGACCGUACCCACAUCAGGUCUCCAAGGUGAACAGCCUCUAGUC